CAAACCAAGAGCAAAGGAAGAACAAAGGGAGAAAAGAAAAACAAGAACCAUAGGUGGGAAAAUUUAAGGGAAAAUUGGUGGAUUUCAUGUAAUCAAGCAAUCAAAGGUAAAAUUUCUUGAUUUUGACUUGUGAUCUACCUUUCCCAUGCAUUUCUCCUUAUUUUCCAUGGUUGAAUUACAUGUUUUCAUUAUGAAUUCAUGGCUGGUCAAAAUGGGUAUGGAGAGAGAAAGAUGUUGGAUUGAUUUGAUUUUAAGAUAUGUUAGUGUUUUUAGUUACUUAAGCAUGUUUAGAAACAAAACAACAAGAAAAGAAUCCAUUUUCGCAAUGAACCUUCAAUGGCCGAACCCUAUGUGAAGUGUAGAAGUAAUGAAUUGAUUUUGUGAUCAAGUGAAUUGGUUGAAAAAUUGAUGAAAUGAUGAUUUAUGGUGGGAAAAUGGAAUGGGAAAAUUUUUAGUGAUAGUGCACCACAAUGGCCGAAAUUUUUAAGAAUAAUUGUGAGGGUUGUUAGGCUGAAUUUUAGAUUAUUGGAAUUGUAUUUAGUGAAUUGAAAUAUUAGAAAUGAAAUGGAGCAAUUUGGAGCCAAAUCGGACACAAUUGUCAUUUAAUCGGGUAAUAGGCCGAAUUAGGUCAGCACCUCAUUUAAGCGGUAGUCGGAUAAGUUGCAUAUCAUAUCAUGCAUAUACACCGAGCCUGAAUUGAUUUUAUAAUGGUCAAGCAUUAAUGUGGUGAAUUAUGUAUUGUACAUUGUGGAUAGGUGGUGAGCGAAUUACACUAGUAAAAGUACAGAGAUUGUGCUUGAAGACUGGGAUUAGGAGUACAUCGACUCCUAGAACUGUGAGUGGAUAAUUUAUUGUCUUAAAUAUCUAGAUUAAUUAUACUUGUUUGAUGAUUUUAUUGAAUGGUGAGUUUAAAUUAUAAAAUAUUAUGUUUUCCAAUUAAAAUGUUUUUUUUAAUAAAAAUGAGAUUUAUAUUGGUUUUGAAAUCAAAUAUUGUUUUGGGAAAAUUAAGUAUAUGGAUAUUGAGUUGAAAUUUAUGAUUUUAUAUGUUAUUGAAAUUGUGGCUUAUGACACUAUGCUAGCAUGAUGGCUAAAUUUUUGGGGUUGACAUAAAAUAUAUGAACAGUUUCAAAUUGAUCUCGGUAGACUGGAUUAAAUUUUAUUUGCCAUGUUAUGCUACUGAAAAUUUUAUGGAUCUGGUGGUAUAUUAAAUGGUCAUUGUAGUGGUGGGGGUUUCCGUGGACUGCCUAUGAGAGGGGCACGGUAACCCAAUUAUAUAUUUACCUCCAGGGGGAGAUGUUGGAUGAAGUAUCUCCUAAGGUAAAAUUUAAGUGCACCUCAUGUUCGGGCCACCACGUGAGAGUAAGACUCAGCCAACGCCAAGGAACAGCUGUGUGUUAGAUGCGAAAACAUGUUUAUGGGUAUGGGAUAUUUUACAGCCUUGGCGGUCUCAGUGGGAUACCUUGACGAAGGUACCCGCGAGAAUGAUUCUAGUAGGGGCCAAGUUUAAGAAACUCAUAAGCUGAGAAAUUUUGAAGAAAGGAAAUUGUUUGGUAUAGAUUGAAACGAAUUUUGCGUUAUGAGCAUUAUUGAGAUAUAAUGUUUUUAUAUUGUCUCCAUCUACUCGGCUUUAGAUGCUUUUGAUGGUAAUUGUUUACUCACUAGGAUUAUGUAAUCUCACCCCUCUUCCUACCCAUUUUUCAAGCUCAUGACAGUUUGUUGAUAGUUGAUUAAGAUGAGAAUUAAUCCUGAAGUUGCAUCCUACACCUUCUUGGUCGAUUGGGGGCCCACAUGUCACUGUAAAAGUAAUUUUAUACUUCAGUUAUCUGAUUUAAAGUAUGUAUGAACAUAUUUAGCUUUUACACCAUGUUUUUGGCGGGUUUCGAUAUUUUCUAAGAAAAAUGACGAAAAUACCCCUUUGAGGCAAAAAUAAAUUUUCAUUGUUUUUGGAUGGGAAAAUGGUCCAUUUCAUUUCAAAACAUGAUUUUAGUUACUGUUGAUCACAGGGGAGGUAAGAAAACUGAUACGAAAGCCUUGUGAGGUUUCGAUCAGCAUUCGGGGUACAGAAUGUCUGAUGAGACUUCGCUGCAGUUGUCACAGGCUCAAUGAGAGUUCUGGGUCGUGACAAAAAACUUGUUGUUGAUGUCUUAUUUCUCACUGCAGCAAAAAACUCUCAAGUUUGGAGGGUUAUACUGGCCUAGUUCUCGCUGCAGCGAGAAACAUUUUUUUUGCCGCAAUAAUCUCGCUACAGCGAGAAACUUUCUAUCCUGCAUGUUACCUUGUUUGGUUGUUGCCUUAUUUUCCACUACUUUAGCACCAUAUUUGAUCAUGGACUUCCAACAACAAGGAAUUCAUUAAUUAAGUUUGAAAUAAGGGGUUUUAGUGAGAAACACUCAGCAGUUGAGAAAAUCCUCGGCCAGUUGAUAAAUUGAGCCCAAAUUUUGCUGCAACGAAAAUUCAUUCUCGUUGUAGCGAGAAUGGCUUUCCGCUACAGCGAGGACCCGUCGUUUCACUUGACUUUCUUGAAUGCUAUUAAAGUUUUCACUCUUCAAAUCCUUUGUUGUGCAUGGAUCUUUUAUCGUCAAGUGAUUAAUUCAUUAAGGGUUAAUGAGGGGUUUUAAUAAGAAUUAAACUAAAUUGCAUUGUUUUUCGAAAAUAAGUGCAUUAUGAUUUCUUAACUUCUCUUAUGGAUUGCUUGUUCACUUCCUUUGUUCACUCACUGGGUUUAUACUCACCGUUUUCAACUUCAUGUUUUCAGAUCAAGAGGCAGCUGGUAAAUAGGUCGAGGUGUCCUUGUAGAUUGUUUUUCUUGGUAGGUAUCUCGGCAUUCAAUAGCUGAACUUUCACCGAGUCUCUCCACUAGAAGUUGAGUAUUCCUUUUUGUUGUGUAUAGACAAACCCGAUGUAAAUUAUGAGUAUAUAUGUUUUAGACAAUAUAUGUAUAUUUUGAUUGGUAAUGCCACAACGAGUUGGCAAUCGUUAUCAAUAUUUCAAAUUGAAAUUAUGAAAUGUGACUUUAGCAACUUUGAUGGAA
rnacentral:lncRNA from 1 species